rfam:Azospirillum brasilense Sp245 main chromosome complete genome
GCUUGUUCUCAGGGCAGGGUGAAAAUCCCGACCGGCGGUAGCCCCUCGCAAGAGGGGGAGCCCGCGAGCGCUCCCGGCCGUCAGGCGGGGAGGUCAGCAGAUCCGGUUCAAGGCCGGAGCCGACGGUGACAGUCCGGAUGGAAGAGGACGAGC